AACAACAUUAGACUACUUAGUUGCGCCCUAACAGUAUAACUUUGCAACGAGUACUUUUUCUCAUUCAAUCGAACAAAGAGUAAAAGCUAAUUAUCUUGUUCUAUUUUGCUUCGAGAAGGUAAAUUUCAAGCGAAUCGAUGUCAACGUUCACAAGAACCAAAGCCGGAACAACAUUAGACUACUCACUUGCGCCCUAACAGUAUAACUUUGCAUCGAGUACUUUUUCUCAUUCAAUCGAACAAAGAGUAAAACCUAAUUAUCUUAUUCUAUUUUGCUUCGAGAGGGUAAAUUUCGAACGAAUCGAUGUCAACGUUCACAAGAACCAAAAUAGGAACAACAUUAGACUACUAAGUUGCGCCAUAACAGUAUAACUUUGCAACGAGUACUUUUUCUCAUUCAAUCGAGCAAAGUGUAAAACCUAAUUAUAUUGUUCUAUUAAGCCCCAAGAGUGUAAAGAAGGACGAAUCGAUGUCAACGUUCACAAGAACCAAAAUCGGAGCAACAUUAGAAUACUCAGUUGCGCCCUAAGUGUAUAACUUUGCAACGAGUACUUUUUCUCAUUCUAUCGAACGAAGAGCAAAAGCUAAUUAUACUGUUCUAUUAUUCCCCGAGAGCGUAAAUUUGGAACGAAUCGACGUCAACGUUCACAGGAACCAAAACCGGAAUAACAUUACAAUACUCAGUUGUGCCCUAACAGUAUAACUUUGCAACGCGUACUUUUUCUCAUUCAAUCGAACAAACAGUUAAACCUAAUUAUAUUGUUCUAUUAUGCCCCGAGAGUGUAAAUUUCGAAUGAAUCGAUGUCAACGUUCACAAUAACCAAAGCCGGAACAACAUUAGACUACUCAGUUGAGCCCUAACAGUAUAACUUUGCAACGACUACUUCUUCUCAUUCAAUCGAACAAAGAGUAAAACUUAAUUAUCUUGUUCAAUUUUGCCUCGAAAGGGUAAAUUUCGAACGAAUCGAUGUCAACGUUCACAAGAACCAAAAUCGGAACAACAUUAGGCAACUCAGUUGCGCCAUAACAGUAUAACUUUGCAACGAGUACUUUUUCUCAUUCAAUCGAACAAAUCGUUAAACCUUAUAUUGUUCUAUUAUGCCCCGAGAGUGUAAAUUUCGAAUGAAUCGAUGUCAACGUUCACAAUAACCAAAGCCGGAACAACAUUAGACUACUUAGUUGCGCCCUAACAGUAUAACUUUGCAACGAGUACUUUUUCUCAUUCAAUCGAACAAAAAGUAAAACCUAAUUAUCUUGUUCUAUUUUGCUUCGAGAGGGUAAAUUUCGAGCGAAUCGAUGUCAACGUCCAUAAGAACCAAAAUCGGAACAAUAUUAGACUACUCAGAUGCGCCAUAACAGCAUAACUUUGCAACGAGUACUUUUUCUCAUUCAAUCGAACAAACAGUUAAACCUAAUUAUAUUGUUCUAUUAAGCCCCAAGAGUGUAAAGAUGGACGAAUCGAUGUCAACGUUCACAAGAACCAAAAUCGGAACAACAUUAGACUACUCAGUUGCGCCCUAACAGUAUAACUUUGCAACGAGUACUUUUUCUCAUUCAAUCGAACAAACAGUUAAACCUAAUUAUAUUGUUCUAUUAUGCCCCGAGGGUAUAAAUUUCGAAUGAAUCGAUGUCAACUUUCACAAGAACCAAAGCCGGAACAACAUUAGACUACUCACUUGCGCCCUAACAGUAUAACUUUGCAUCGUGUACUUUUUCUCAUUCAAUCGAACAAAGAGUAAAACCUAUUUAUCUAGUUCUAUUUUGCCUCGAGAGGGUAAAUUUCGAACGAAUCGAUGUCAACGUUCACAAGAACCAAAACCGGAACAACAUUAGACUACUCAGUUGCGCCCUAACAGUAUAACUUUGCAACCAGUGCUUUUUCUCAUUCAAUCGAACAAAGAGUAAAACCUAUUUAUAUUAUUCUAUUAUGCCCCGAGAGUGUAAAUUUGGAACGAAUCGAUGUCAACUUUCACAAGAACCAAAGCCGGAACAACAUUAGACUACUCAGUUGCGCCCUAACAGUAUAGCUUUGCAACGAGUACUUUUUCUCAUUCUA
rnacentral:lncRNA from 1 species